CCUACGGGAGGCAGCAGUGAGGAAUAUUGGUCAAUGGGCGCGAGCCUGAACCAGCCAAGUCGCGUGAGGGAAGACGGACCUAUGGAUUGUAAACCUCUUUUGUCGGGGAGUAAAGGUCUCCACGCGUGGCGUUCUGAGUGUACCCGAAGAAUAAGCAUCGGCUAACUCCGUGCCAGCAGCCGCGGUAAUACGGAGGAUGCGAGCGUUAUCCGGAUUUAUUGGGUUUAAAGGGUGCGCAGGCGGACGAUUAAGUCAGCGGUAAAAUUGAGGGGCUCAACCUUUGCGAGCCGUUGAAACUGGUUUUCUUGAGUGAGCGAGAAGUAUGCGGAAUGCGUGGUGUAGCGGUGAAAUGCAUAGAUAUCACGCAGAACUCCGAUUGCGAAGGCAGCAUACCGGCGCUCAACUGACGCUCAUGCACGAAAGUGUGGGUAUCGAACAGGAUUAGAUACCCUAGUAGUC
rnacentral:rRNA from 1 species